GGUAGAGGGUGUCUGUCUGCCGUGUACAUGUGGUGCAGGCAGGGAGAUCAGAACGCUCACAGAACAGGCAGUGUAAUUACAUGGUCCUUGGAAGUAUGUUCGCCCCACGGGGACCUCGGCUUGCCCUUCUACUUAGGGAGGAAAAGUAGAUUUGGGGAUGGUGGAAGGGGUCAGUUCAUAACUGACUUCGUGCUCGGUAAUGAUGAGGGCAUCUGCUGAUCUCCAGUGACCGCCUGAUGCUUGUGGUCAGGCUCCACUCUCUUGCUCCCAGAUACUUGAUUUUGCAAAAGGAACACACCUUUCUGCAGGAAAGAAGAUACUGACCAGAUUGCGAGCGGUUUCAGUGGAUGCUUUGCAGUCACCCAGGGCCCAGGCGGACUGACCGUGCAGGAGGUUUGUGCGUGGGAAUCGGAGACCAUGGCAGUGCAGCUGGUGCCAGACUCCGCGCUCAGCCUGCUGAUGACUCUUCUAUCAUCAGCCAUUUUCCUCAUUUGGACACUUUCCUUUUUAAUUAUCCAACAAAUAUUUGCUGAGUAUCUACUCUGUACAAGAAGAAUAUAAGCGGGUCGCUGGCUUUAGUGGACUUACAGUCUAAUUGGAGAAACAAGAUAGAGACACACGGAGACUAUGUCAGGAGUUCACAGGACAGCUUCAGAGAAUCACGGAAGAACUGUAAGAAUACAGUGCAUACCAUCACCAAGCAAGCCCUGGGGUGUGCUGAGUUCACAAGUCCUGGUGUGCACUGACUGUUAGAAUGGAGGAACUGGCAAAGCUAGGCAAUGUGUUGAGGAAUGGAUGUGUUAAGAGAGCAGAUUUGAGGUGAGGAGAGUGAUUGCAUUACCACCAAGUCUAGGUUGUGUUUGCGAGAUGGAAAAGUCAUCUGGUUUAGAUAGAGUGGCUGUAGGUAACACAGGGUUACAUGGUCAGAAGGGCAGGCUGGGGUGUGACCAAGGUUCUAGUUCUAUUACUAUAACCUAAUUUCCAUCUAAAUUCGACAAGUGACAGAUCUCUAUUCAGAAUUUCUGAUAAGACCACAGAUUUUUCUCCA